AUUGAACGCUGGCGGCAGGCCUAACACAUGCAAGUCGAGCGAGCGGCGGACGGGUGAGUAAUGUCUGGGAAACUGCCUGAUGGAGGGGGGUAACUACAGGAAACGGUAGCUAAUACCGCAUACCAUCAGAUGUGCCCAGAUGGGAUUAGCUAGUAGGGGGGGUAACGGCUCACCUAGGCGACGAUCCCUCGCUGGUCUGAGAGGAUGACCAGCCACGCUGGAACUGAGACACGGUCAGGACUCCUACGGAGGGCGGCAGUGGGGAAUAUUGCACAAUGGGCGCAAGCCUGAUGCAGCCCUGCCGCGUGUAUGAGGAAGGCCUUCGGGUUUUAAAGCACUUUCAGCGGGGAGGCGUUACCCGCAGAAGAAGCACCGGCUAACUCCGUGCCAGCAGCCGCGGUAAUUC
rnacentral:rRNA from 1 species